CAAGUCGAGCGGUAACAGGGGUAGCUUGCUACCCGCUGACGAGCGGCGGACGGGUGAGUAAUGCAUAGGAAACUGCCCAGUAGUGGGGGAUAGCCCGGGGAAACCCGGAUUAAUACCGCAUACGUCCUUCGGGAGAAAGCAGGGGAUCUUCGGACCUUGCGCUAUUGGAUGUGCCUAUGUCGGAUUAGCUAGUUGGUGGGGUAAGAGCCUACCAAGGCGACGAUCCGUAGCUGGUCUGAGAGGAUGAUCAGCCACAUCGGGACUGAGACACGGCCCGAACUCCUACGGGAGGCAGCAGUGGGGAAUAUUGGACAAUGGGGGCAACCCUGAUCCAGCCAUGCCGCGUGUGUGAAGAAGGCUUUCGGGUUGUAAAAGCACUUUCAGUGAGGA
rnacentral:rRNA from 1 species